UACAGAGGGGGCAAGCGUUGUUCGGAAUUACUGGGCGUAAAGGGCGCGUAGGCGGCCUGCUAAGUCGAACGUGAAAUCCCUGGGCUCAACCCAGGAACUGCGUCCGAUACUGGUUGGCUUGAAUCCGGGAGAGGGAUGUGGAAUUCCAGGUGUAGCGGUGAAAUGCGUAGAUAUCUGGAGGAAUACCAGUGGCGAAAGCGACGCCCUGGCAUUAGCCUGACGCUCAUGUGCGAAGGCGUGGGGAGCGAACGGG
rnacentral:rRNA from 1 species